CCCUUAGAUGUUCUGGGCGGCCCGCGCACUACAAUGGCGUGUGCAGCGAGUGCCGAAGUAGAGUUUUCCGAGGUAUUCUUGCAAUGCUCGUUUUGAUGGGGAUAGACCCUUGCAACUGUUGGUUUUGAACGAGGAAUUCCUUGUAAGCAUGGUUUAUCAUCCGACGCUGAAUGCGUCCCUGCCCUUUGUACACACCGCCCGUCGCUCCUACCGAUGAGUCGUCCGGUGAAGUUCGUAGACCUCGUGAUCGCGGAUCACUGGGGGAAACAAAAUGAACCUCGCGGUUUAGAGGAAGGAGAAGUCGUAACA
rnacentral:rRNA from 1 species